rnacentral:lncRNA from 7 species
CUCAAAGUUUCAUCUUUGCCCAUAGCCUUUCUUGGUGGAUGAAGAAGUGAACAUGAGCCAGCAGAGUGUCCAUGCAGCAUGGAUAGCAAAGGAUAUCCUGGGAGCCGUCAGAAGACGGGUGGCAGCAGGCGCACAGUGUUGAUUGUCUCUGGGCACCACGGGGCUCUUCUGCCUCUCUGCACGGCCCUGGCUUUUUCCCUGGUUGGGACAAGACCGCUUCAGCCUCCUCCUGUGCUGCUCCCCUCCCUCCAGCCUGCUGGACAGCUGUGAAAUCCUCUCUCCCAGCACUUCUUUUGCACACUUUCGGGAUGUAAUUAAGCAAAAUGGUCUUGGAUGCCCAGACCAUGGGGAUGAGCCUUGAUGGAAAAACUAAUGUCUCCCUCUCGCCUCCAUGUGUGCCUUUCAACUCCCUGCCUGUAUCUGUUCCCGAAUCCACCCUGGGUUCUACCUUACACACCAUACCUGCCCCAGUGCUGUCUGUUUGUUCUCCCUGCCACUGACUGCAUCCCCAAGGAGGAUGCCCCAAGCUGGAGGAGCUGCUCACUGAGCUGACACAGCCCUCAUAAGCCACGGGGGGCCAUGUAAUGCCCAGAUGUGUGUAUGGGCUGUGUUUGUGGUGCUGCAGAUGCAGAGAUGGCACAGCAUUCCACCUGGGUCCCCACUCCCGCAGACCUGGGCUUGUGGCCAUGGCCCGGCACAGCCCUGUCCAUGCGCAGGGCUCGCUGUGGGUUGGGUUUCCCUGUUUGCCCAAGGCCAGCUCUGGGGCUCUGGGGUUCUCACGCCUGCUCUGUGCUGCAGAUGGUGCUGGGGGCCGUUCAGCCCCUUGCCAAACCGGAUGGCACCCCUACAGCACGAGCACAGCCGGCUGUCCAGCAGCACACAGCGCUCAGAGCCAGCAGCAGGCCCCUUGGCGGAGCAGAGGGUGCCCAUCUCAGGAGCACAGCAGAUGAGCAGAACCUCCUCCAGCAGCAUCUCUGCCCCGUGGCAGAGGGACGCGGCGCACAUUCCCAGCCUGGCCAUGAAAUCGCCCUCCAAGAGGCAAGCAGUGCUGCUCCCCCCAGACGUCUGCUGUGGGCUGCCGGGGAAGGAGCUGGGAAAGCAAACACUGCUCAUGGAGGUGGGAAAAGACCACGGAGAUCAUCCCAACCAACCUUCUCAUUUUCAAUUCAUUUAAUUCACACCACCACCACCAACAUAACCAGGUGCCUCCUUCAAUCCCAUCUCCCCACCAAAAAAAAACACGUGCAAAUAUGAUUUCUUAUCUAAAGGAAAGAAAUUUUAAUAUAUAACAGUGUAUUUUCAACAGAGAAACAAUGUAAUUUGAACACCUAUACCUAAAGAAGUAACCAUAUAUUCUAAUUUAAACACUAUAAAGUAAUAACGUGAAAACAUUAAUAAUGAACAGCAUAAAGGAGCUGUUGGGGCACGGGUGGGUGUUGAAGGGAAGCUCCUCGUGUGGCCGGCGAGGAGCUGCAGUGCAUGGUGGACUACGAGAGCCUCACGACCUUUGUGGGUACGGUGACCACAUCACAUAUACUUGCAGAGUCAAAGGGGUCGUCCAUUUUCAGGAAGGACCUCUUUCUGCUGUGCUGCACUUCCAGAUGUUUGGAUUUCUUCUGCCGUUUCCCUGAUGGUUUAUCACACUCUGCGCGUUUCUGCAGAGGAGGGUCAGGGUG